rnacentral:rRNA from 1 species
CCUACGGAAGGCAGCAGUGAGGAAUAUUGGUCAAUGGGCUUACGCCUGAACCAGCCAAGUCGCGUGAGGGAAGACUGCCCUAUGGGUUGUAAACCUCUUUUGUCAGGGAGCAACGCCGGCUACGUGUAGCCGGACUGAGAGUACCUGAAGAAAAAGCAUCGGCUAACUCCGUGCAAGCAGCCGCGGUAAUACGGAGGAUGCGAGCGUUAUCCGGAUUUAUUGGGGUUAAAGGGUGCGUAGGCGGAAUGCCAAGUCAGCGGUAAAAUCGCGGGGCUCAACCUCGCUACGCCGUUGCAACUGGCGUUCUUGAGUGGGCGAGAAGUAUGCGGAAUGCGUGGUGUAGCGGUGAAAUGCAUAGAUAUCACGCAGAACUCCGAUUGCGAAGGCAGCAUACCGGCGCCCAACUGACGCUGAAGCACGAAAGCGUGGGUAUCGAACAGGAUUAGAUACCCCAGUAGUC